UGGGGAAUAUUGCACAAUGGGCGCAAGCCUGAUGCAGCCAUGCCGCGUGUAUGAAGAAGGCCUUCGGGUUGUAAAGUACUUUCAGCAGUGAGGAAGGUGGUGUGCUUAAUACGCACAUCAUUUGACGUUAGCUGCAGAAGAAGCACCGGCUAACUCCGUGCCAGCAGCCGCGGUAAUACGGAGGGUGCGAGCGUUAAUCGGAAUUACUGGGCGUAAAGCGCAUGCAGGUGGUUUGUUAAGUCAGAUGUGAAAGCCCGGGGCUCAACCUCGGAAUUGCAUUUGAAACUGGCAGACUAGAGUACUGUAGAGGGGGGUAGAAUUUCAGGUGUAGCGGUGAAAUGCGUAGAGAUCUGAAGGAAUACCGGUGGCGAAGGCGGCCCCCUGGACAGAUACUGACACUCAGAUGCGAAAGCGUGGGGAGCAAACAGG
rnacentral:rRNA from 1 species